GUGACCGGUUUGUUCCUUUCCAAACCAUCUCAAAAAUAUCUCUUUUACAGGCACUGCUACCCGGUAGAGCUCCUGGUCCACAGAUCCCUCAGCAGAGAGUGUAAAAAGAUGGUAAAACAGCAUCUGCAUGCUUACAUCACUUCCAGUUGCAGUCUCCUCCAUGGCAAAUUGACAAGUAAUAGCAGCUGGUGACAAUAGCAGCAAAAGGACACGGAAGACUACUUUGUCCAAUGGCUUGCCAAAAUCAGAAGCCAACGACUGUGAAGCAGAUUUAACGGUGAAACAAAUUCAAUUCUACAGUCCUGCUGAAGCCAAAAUCCUGGAUAAAGAAACACAUGGGAUAUCUAGCAAUGGAAAAAAACGGAUUUAUUGAAUUGCCUUUGUGUGAUGAUCUACCUGGGAAGAACAGGAAUCAAAUUCAACUUACUCUUGGGACUAGGACAUUAAACUGAAGUGAAAUGAAAUGUGAUGAGCUUAAAAGACAGAAUCCACCAAGAUUACCAAUAUACAGACAUUAUGAAUAUAAUCCCAAACUGUGCAUCCCAAGAGACUAAUCUAAUCUUGACUGACCACAUAAGAAAAGCAGAAUAUCAGGCCUGGUAAAUACUUGGAUUAGAGACCAUGAGGUUCUGUAUGCUUAAAAUGGGAUUAUCAAGAAUAUCCCAAGAAGUGGCAGUGGCAAACAUUCAUCCGCAGCCAAAAGAAUCGAGUGGAUCUGUGAAUCAUCAGAAAUUGAGCCAGGUUUAGUAGCUUAGCUUUACUCAAGCUCNUCCAAUGCUGGUAAGGCCAUAUGGUGAAUUGUACCUCAUCUNUGCCAGCAGUGAAGAAGCACUCUGAUCUACUGCAGAAGAAAACACCCCUUUGAGGCACAAAUCACCA
rnacentral:lncRNA from 1 species